AGAGUUUGAUCAUGGCUCAGAUUGAACGCUGGCGGCAGGCCUAACACAUGCAAGUCGAGCGGUAGCACAGGAGAGCUUGCUCUUUGGGUGACGAGCGGCGGACGGGUGAGUAAUGUCUGGGAAACUGCCUGAUGGAGGGGGAUAACUACUGGAAACGGUAGCUAAUACCGCAUAACCUCGCAAGAGCAAAGAGGGGGACCUUAGGGCCUCUCGCCAUCAGAUGUGCCCAGAUGGGAUUAGCUAGUAGGUGAGGUAAUGGCUCACCUAGGCGACGAUCCCUAGCUGGUCUGAGAGGAUGACCAGCCACACUGGAACUGAGACACGGUCCAGACUCCUACGGGAGGCAGCAGUGGGGAAUAUUGCACAAUGGGCGCAAGCCUGAUGCAGCCAUGCCGCGUGUGUGAAGAAGGCCUUCGGGUUGUAAAGCACUUUCAGCGAGGAGGAAGGCGGUAAGGUUAAUAACCUUAUCGAUUGACGUUACUCGCAGAAGAAGCACCGGCUAACUCCGUGCCAGCAGCCGCGGUAAUACGGAGGGUGCAAGCGUUAAUCGGAAUGACUGGGCGUAAAGCGCACGCAGGCGGUCUGUUAAGUUGGAUGUGAAAUCCCCGGGCUUAACCUGGGAACUGCAUUCAAAACUGACAGGCUAGAGUCUUGUAGAGGGGGGUAGAAUUCCAGGUGUAGCGGUGAAAUGCGUAGAGAUCUGGAGGAAUACCGGUGGCGAAGGCGGCCCCCUGGACAAAGACUGACGCUCAGGUGCGAAAGCGUGGGGAGCAAACAGGAUUAGAUACCCUGGUAGUCCACGCUGUAAACGAUGUCGAUUUGGAGGUUGUGCCCUUGAGGCGUGGCUUCCGGAGCUAACGCGUUAAAUCGACCGCCUGGGGAGUACGGCCGCAAGGUUAAAACUCAAAUGAAUUGACGGGGGCCCGCACAAGCGGUGGAGCAUGUGGUUUAAUUCGAUGCAACGCGAAGAACCUUACCUACUCUUGACAUCCAGAGAAUUAGCUAGAGAUAGCUGAGUGCCUUCGGGAACUCUGAGACAGGUGCUGCAUGGCUGUCGUCAGCUCGUGUUGUGAAAUGUUGGGUUAAGUCCCGCAACGAGCGCAACCCUUAUCCUUUGUUGCCAGCGAUUCGGUCGGGAACUCAAAGGAGACUGCCGGUGAUAAACCGGAGGAAGGUGGGGAUGACGUCAAGUCAUCAUGGCCCUUACGAGUAGGGCUACACACGUGCUACAAUGGCGUAUACAAAGAGAAGCGACCUCGCGAGAGCAAGCGGACCUCAUAAAGUACGUCGUAGUCCGGAUUGGAGUCUGCAACUCGACUCCAUGAAGUCGGAAUCGCUAGUAAUCGUAGAUCAGAAUGCUACGGUGAAUACGUUCCCGGGCCUUGUACACACCGCCCGUCACACCAUGGGAGUGGGUUGCAAAAGAAGUAGGUAGCUUAACCUUCGGGAGGGCGCUUACCACUUUGUGAUUCAUGACUGGGGUGAAGUCGUAACAAGGUAACCGUAGGGGAACCUGCGGUUGGAUCACCU
rnacentral:rRNA from 2 species